GACGAAGGGGGCUAGCGUUGUUCGGAAUUACUGGGCGUAAAGCGCGUGUAGGCGGUUGUUCAAGUCAGGUGUGAAAGCCUUGAACUCAACUCAAGAAAUGCACUUGAUACUGGAUGACUAGAGGACCGGAGAGGAUAGUGGAAUUCCCAGUGUAGUGGUGAAAUACGUAGAGAUUGGGAAGAACACCAGUGGCGAAGGCGGCUAUCUGGACGGUUUCUGACGCUAAGACGCGAAAGCGUGGGGAGCAAACAGG
rnacentral:rRNA from 1 species